GAUGAACGCUGGCGGCGUGCCUAAUACAUGCAAGUCGAGCGAACGGACGAGAAGCUUGCUUCUCUGAUGUUAGCGGCGGACGGGUGAGUAACACGUGGAUAACCUACCUAUAAGACUGGGAUAACUUCGGGAAACCGGAGCUAAUACCGGAUAAUAUUUUGAACCGCAUGGUUCAAAAGUGAAAGACGGUCUUGCUGUCACUUAUAGAUGGAUCCGCGCUGCAUUAGCUAGUUGGUAAGGUAACGGCUUACCAAGGCAACGAUGCAUAGCCGACCUGAAAGGGUGAUCGGCCACACUGGAACUGAGACGCGGUCCAGACUCCUACGGGUGGCAGCAGUAGGGAAUCUUCCGCAGUGGGCGAAAGCCUGACGGAGCAACCCGGCGUGAGUGAUGAAGAUCUUCGGAUCGUAAAACUCUGUUAUUCGGGAAGAACAUAUGUGUAAGUAACUGUGCACAUCUUGACGGUACCUAAUCAGAAAGCCACGGCUAACUACGUG
rnacentral:rRNA from 1 species